rnacentral:rRNA from 1 species
CAGCCGCCGCGGUAAUACGUAGGUCCCGAGCGUUGUCCGGAUUUAUUGGGCGUAAAGCGAGCGCAGGCGGUUAGAUAAGUCUGAAGUUAAAGGCAGUGGCUUAACCAUAGUACGCUUUGGAAACUGUUUGACUUGAGUGCAGAAGGGGAGAGUGGAAUUCCAUGUGUAGCGGUGAAAUGCGUAGAUAUAUGGAGGAACACCGGUGGCGAAAGCGGCUCUCUGGUCUGUAACUGACGCUGAGGCUCGAAAGCGUGGGGAGCGAACAGGAUUAGAUACCCCCGUAGUCCCUGUCUCUUAUACA